rnacentral:pre_miRNA from 1 species
ACAACAACAUUCGGACCGUCGCUCUACCGAGCAAUAUCACCCGUUCGGUGGAAGAUCUUCCCUCCGUCGUUUAAG